rnacentral:rRNA from 1 species
GACGAACGCUGGCGGCGUGCUUAACACAUGCAAGUCGAACGGAAAGGCCUGCUUUCCCUUGUGGUUUGCGGGUACUCGGGUGGCGAACGGGUGAGUAACACGGGAGUGAUCUGCCCCCAACCUGGGUAUAAGCCUGGGAAACGGGGUCUAAUUCCCGAUAGAACUGCAGGGGGGUGCCUGUGGUGGAAAACGAUUUUUUAGGGGUUGGGGUUGGGCUCGCGGCCUAUCAGCUUGUUGGUGGGGUAAUGGCCUACCAAGGCGGCGACGGGUAGCCGGCCUGAGAGGGUGGACGGCCACAUUGGGACUGAGAUACGGCCCAGACUCCUACGGGAGGCAGCAGUGGGGAAUAUUGCACAAUGGGCGGAAGCCUGAUGCAGCGACGCCGCGUGGGGGAUGACGGCCUUCGGGUUGUAAACUCCUUUCGACCGCGAGGAAGCCACCUGGUUGGAAGGGUGGUGACGGUAGUGGUAGAAGAAGCACCGGCUAACUACGUG